rnacentral:tRNA from 1 species
GCACCCGUAGCUCAGCUGGAUAGAGGCGCUGCCCUCCGAAGGCAGAGGUCACAGGUUCGAAUCCUGUCGGGUGCGCCA